rnacentral:rRNA from 1 species
CCUACGGGAGGCAGCAGUGAGGAAUAUUGGUCAAUGGGCGGGAGCCUGAACCAGCCAAGCCGCGUGAGGGAAGAAGGUACAGCGUAUCGUAAACCUCUUUUGUCAGGGCACAAAGGCGGGGACUAGUCCCCGGAUGAGGGUACCUGAAGAAAAAGCAUCGGCUAACUCCGUGACAGCAGCCGCGGAAAUACGGAGGAUGCGAGCGUUAUCCGGAUUUGUUGGGUUAAAAGGGUGCGCAGGCGGCCUGUUAAGUCAGCGGUAAAAGCCCGGGGCUAAACCCCGGCGAGCCGUUGAAACUGGCAGGCUGGAGUUGGAGAGAAGUACGCGGAAUGCGCGGUGUAGCGGUGAAAUGCUUAGAUAUCGCGCAGAACCCCGAUUGCGAAGGCAGCGUACCGGCUCCACACUGACGCUGAGGCACGAAAGCGUGGGUAUCGAACAGGAUUAGAUACCCGGGUAGUC